GGUUAAGCAAAUAAGCGUACAUGGUGAAUGCCUUGGCAGUCAGAGGCGACGAAGGACGUGCUAAUCUGCGAAAAGCGACGGCAAGCUGAUAUGAAGCGCUACAACCGUCGAUCUCCGAAUGGGGAAACCCGACGCAUUUUAUGCAUC
rnacentral:ncRNA from 1 species